AAACACUGAACUAUAAUGAAUUACACAAUGAAAGAUUGGCCUAAAGACAAACAGAAUUGAGUGCCAAAGAGUUAAUCCACCAACUGGUACCCAACAGGAAGCAAGGGAACUAUUUAAAAAAUCCUUAUUACAGGAACUAAAAGACAAACAGGUGCAGCCUCAGAAAAAAAUCUAGGCUACAUUUUAAAACUCAAUACAGUCUAUGUUCUACAUUGAAGCAUAAAGCUUUUUGGUCUUGUUGAUGUCACAACAUCUUAAAUACCUGUUUUUUUAUUCAUUUUUUAAGGAAACAUCUGUCUCCAAUAUUGAAAUGACAAAGUUCCUAUCUCUGAUUCUGGUUAUCAGUUCCUUACCAGGUUGUAGUUUAGUAAAUGUGAAACAACCUGAAAGACUUCUCCUUGUUCAGUCAGGAAAACCAGUGGUGCUGAACUGCGAUCAGGAUGCAAGUAACUACUACUACAUGUACUGGUACCAACACAAAGCAGGACAGGGGAUGAAGCUCAUGGUCCUCUCCAUAGAAGUUAAAUCUGAAGACAUGGAGUCGGGUUUUAAGGACAGAUGGGAUUUAAAGAGGCCUUCAGUUUUUAACUCCUCUCUUCACUUGAAAGAGUCCAAGAAGGAAGAUUCUGCCACAUAUUUCUGUGCUGCGAGUAUGCACAGUUUGAAAUUGUAGAGUGGGACCCGGUAAUAAACAGUGUUACCGUAACUUAUUAAUACAGCAGGGGGCGCUCCUCUUUAUCUCUUCACUUUGGCAACAGAAGCAAUUUUUAUUGAUCCGGAAAAGGAUAUUAACCCCUUGCUGACAACUGCUUUCCAGUUCAUCAAGCAAGGAUCAAGCAAGGAUUUGAUAGCUUAAAGCAUGGAUGCUCAACCUGUGGCCCUCCAGCUGUUGCAAAACUACAAGUCCCAUGAUGCAUUACAAG